CCAUACACAGUCAAGUGGCAUUUGUCCAGAAGCUGACAUGUCCUUUCAUUGCUAAAAACCUUGGUUUGGAAUGGAAUGGAGUCAAGUACAGGAAGGAAAUGAUUAUGGAAGCUGUAAGAAUUUGAGACCUCUGCUAUCUUCAGAUACAACAAAAUAUUUCCUCCUGUUAUCAGCAGCCAUAAAAACGUAGAGGAGAUGUUGCAACUCAAGUAUCCAAGUGAAGGCAAAGCUCCAUCUGAGACUGACUUGGGUUUCAGAAGGUUCAGGUCCACCACAUGCACUUAGAGGCUGGCUAUUGAGACCACACUGGUUGGCUAUUUUAAGUACAUCAACAGAUUACUCCUGCUACCGUUUUUAGACUGAAAAAAACCCCAAAUUCUUGUAUAUAUCAGUGACACCAUGAUGAAACUACAAUAGGAACACCAAGCAGAAGAGUUCCUGCUUAGACUAUUGCAGCUUGGAAAUGGGUCAAGCUCUGGACAGGGUAUUGAGGGAUUACUACUGCCAGCAGCUGAAUUUUCCCCUAUAACCCUCACAGAUCCAGAGUGGGAAGUUUACAUCACCGACAUCCUCCAAGGAUCACGGAUGGAAUUCAAGCCUUGCCCAUGGGGUUGCUUGGUGGCACUGCUCUACUGACGCCCACCACAGCAUGAUACAAGCCCCAAAGACUUUCCCAUUCCCACUCCAACAUCUCUGUGUUGGAUAGUGGACAAAAUACUUCCAUGUUUGAGGAAAGGAACAAAGUAAAGUGUGCAGGGCAGCUCUGUUGGCUCCGUUGCCAUUGUUGCUGUUUGUUUAUUGUGAUCUGUCAGGAUUGAUGGGUGUCUAGAACAAAACAAGCCCUGGUUUUGAAAGGUUGCUUAAUGAAAGAAGUUUCAACUUUAUUCUGUGCCUUCAUGCAACCAGAGGUUCUGUUUAUUUAGAAAGCUAACAUUUAUACAGAUUAUGCACUCGCCAUGGUUCCGUGCCAAAAAAUACAUGACUGAAAUGGGUCUUUCCAUCACUCUCUCAGUGUUGACCUGUGAUUGUUUUUACAGGAAUUGGAUCCUUUAAGCAAUAGCCUCUGGUAGAGUAAGGGGGAAAGCACAGCACCUUGUGCAAUGAUUUGCAAAUGGUGGCUUGGGCAAAAAGGUGCAUUCGGAUCACUCAACUGUCCUGAGUACCCCAAAUAGUGGUUGAUUAAAAUAACAACCAGUGAGGGUGGGAAUGGUGGUCAAGCAAAGCUGGAUGAUGGGGGAGAAGGCCAUCAGUUACAGAAGUCAAAUUUUUCUGCAAUUUGACACUUUUGAUUGAUUAAGCCCUCCAAAAACUGUUCAAAGUAUUAAAAACAGUAAAAUAAGAAUAAUUAGAGGUGGCAAAUUGAACUUGAAAAGUCACUGAGUAAUGAUUCAAGCUGUAAAUUUGCAUGUGCUCCUCAUUAUUCUGCUCUUGAAAGUGUUAGAAAUGUUUCCUAAUGAGCAGGGUCCUAGGAAAGAACUGGUCACCUCAUGUUUGUAUGUGAGCACAUAUUUAGAGCCCUUUAAAAAUCCACUCACAGAAAAAGUGGAAAAUUAUGAUGCUCAGAAGGAUCUAUCUGGCCACAUCCUUUGUAAUAACACAUUAUUUUGAGGAGUGAAUAUCCAGCCUGACAAAUGCCCUCUUUAUCAGUCAGUGGGGAGAAAUGGUAACAAGGCAUGUGGUUAGAGAGUGCUGGAAAGCUCUUGACUUUUCUCAGUGGAAUAUCUUUCCUGGGAGACAAUGACUUUCCUACAGAACUCUUCUCAGAAUUAAGGAUGUAUGAAAAAAGAAUCAUUUUUCUUCUUUCCAGUAUUUUUCCAGCUGAGAAACAGUGACAAAGCUUAAGGAUGUGAUUUUUCUCCCCCCUCCACAUUCUCACACUUUCUAAACGUUUUCCAACUGGAAAAACAGCCACUGUUACUUUGUGCUCUUUCCUGCCUUUGGAAAGAAAGUAGUUUUAAAGGACAGGAAAGCCUUGUUUGAAAACAGUGCUAGUAUUUCUCUGUUCUGAACUAUUUUUGGAGACAAGAGUAGAAUCGAAUUAUUUUUCUUUUCAUAACUAUGAAAUGAAAAAUUCACCACUGCGGAAAACAUCCUCCUCUGAACCAUCCUCCCCGAAGCGUGUUUUUAACUUGCAGUUAUUUUUCACUCACCUUUAUCUGGCACUCUUUAGUUUGGCCAAGCCUAUCUUACAGAGACACAGUCUCCUGACAGAUUUUUUGGUGUUUUCCUUUAAAUAGACAUCUGUGGGCUGAUACGCAUCAGCCAAGUGUUCAUUAAAAAGGAUUAAGCAUGGUUAAGCGCUGCGGCCCCAUCAAAGAAAGGGAGGCUAAACACCAGGCACCUUCCCUCCACUGAUGGUGCCAACCCAAGCAUCCUAAAUUGGGGGCUUUCUGCCUCCCAUACAUCAGCAAACCUAAAACUUUUCAUAAUACAGCACAAAUUACCAGUUCAGCAAGUGAGUAAAUAAUCACUGUUGACUUCUCUCCUGCACAACAUUUACCUCAGAGUUGUGUGUUGGUGGCAUGAAAUGUGCUGUGACUUGAGGGCAGGAGGGCCAGGAGCGGUCAGUUGGCUCUUCCCCCCAUCAGCCAUUCCUGUAUUUCCCCAAGGCAAGAUUUAGGUGCCUAAAUUUCUUUUUUUCAUUCCUUUAUCAAUGGCUGUACGUGUUGUGGACCCACAGCGGCCUCAACUCCCUUGGCACAGGCCUUGGGGCCACUGCUGGAGGUAGAUGAGCUUCACUCCUGCUAGGGGAAAUCUCACGGUGUGGGGAAGACACCCCAGGCCCAAAUGAGAGGGAGAAAAGUGUGACCUGGAAAGACAGCAGGGAUUCCUUUCCUUUCAUGUCCUGUGCUUUCAUUUUCAUCAAGGAGGAGGAAAUUGGAGACUCAUUUCUUUGAGUAGGUUCUCCCCAUUUCAGAGACAGAAGAAGAAAAUGCUCAGUAACAGCAGGAUCUGGGGGUGGGUGAACCUGCUCUGUGUCUUUGCAGAACAUGCACAACUAUCCCAAAGUAAGGAAAAUGUUGCACUUUAAUAUUUAUUGCUGAGCUGCCCCAUUUCAUCAGGUCACUCUUUUCCACUCUGAUAUGUAAGUGCUGCAAUUACCUGGCAUGCUGCUGUAAAUGAAGAUUUCUCUUGAAAAAAGAGGACAGGAGGCUCCAAACUGUCACUAUAUUUCCUACAAUCCUACAAAGUUUACUGAAGUGGUUGGAGGGUUUAGCACACUGUCAUCCUGUAAUUACAUGUUGUGUCUGAAGACUUAUAUUAAAGCUGGGGAUGGAAGACUUAGCUGAAAUG